AAAUCGCCUGUCUUCCGUCCAAAAGCGUUCAUAGCGACGUCGCUUUUUGAUCCUUCGAUGUCGGCUCUUCCUAUCAUUGCGAAGCAGAAUUCGCCAAGCGUUGGAUUGUUCACCCACUAAUAGGGAACGUGAGCUGGGGUUAGACCGUCGUGAGACAGGUUACGGCCCGUUCACACUCUUGCGACCGAGUACGACUGAGAGAGACGAGAUCUCUUAAAACUUCUUAAAUUGUUUUAGAAUGAGGGAACACAGUGGCAUUGUUGCGCCAUCUAUGCGGUGACCCUGGAACUGCAUUUCACAAGAGCGAAGGUUUUGCGGGAUUUCCGAGGUCAAAUGUGCGUAAUACCCAUAGAAAGGCUCGUUUAUAACAUAGACAAAAGUAUUUCGAGCCAAGAAAGAAAGGAUAAUGCGCGAGAGAAAUAAAAAAAUAUGCCGGACCGCCGAGUUUACACUGCUACCCAAUAGAUGGCGCCAGUGUGUCCUCUGGAACCCAGGUUUAAGAGGUCUCAAGAGUGUGAACGGGCC
rnacentral:rRNA from 1 species